GACGAACGCUGGCGGCGUGCCUAAUACAUGCAAGUCGAACGCAGUGGGGACGGGUGAGUAACACGUGGGUAACCUCCCAUCAGAGGGGAUAACACUUGGAAACAGGUGCUAAACCGAUACUGAUGGAUGAACCCGCGGUGCAUUAGCUAGUUGGUGAGGUAACGGCUCACCAAGGCAACGAUGCAUAGCCGGCCUGAUGGGGUGAUCGGACACACUGGAACUGGGAACACGCCCAGGAUCCUACGGGAGGCAGCAGUAGAGAAUCUUCGGCAAUGGACGAAAGUCUGACCGAGCAACGCCGCGUGAAUGGAGAAGGUUUUCGGAUCGUAAUACUCUGUUGUUAGAGAAGCGGUAUCUAACCAGAAAGCCACGGCUAGCUACGUGCCAGCAGCCGCGGUAGUAC
rnacentral:rRNA from 1 species